rnacentral:misc_RNA from 1 species
AAGUCGUAACAAGGUCUCCGUAGGUGAACCUGCGGAGGGAUCAUUACAGAGUUCAUGCCCUAACGGGUAGAUCUCCCACCCUAUGUCAUUAUCACUAUGUUGCUUUGGCGGGCCGCUGGGCUCACGCUCGGCUACCGGCUCCGGCUGGUACGCGCCCGCCAGAGGACCCCAAACCCUGAAUAUUAGUGUCGUCUGAGUACUAUAUAAUAGUUAAAACUUUCAACAACGGAUCUCUUGGUUCUG